rnacentral:rRNA from 1 species
GACGAACGCUGGCGGCGUGCUUAACACAUGCAAGUCGAACGGAAAGGCCCUGCUUUUGUGGGGUGCUCGAGUGGCGAACGGGUGAGUAACACGUGAGUAACCUGCCCUUGACUUUGGGAUAACUUCAGGAAACUGGGGCUAAUACCGUAUAGGAGCUCCUGCUGCAUGGUGGGGGUUGGAAAUUUUCGGCGGUUGGGGAUGGACUCGCGGCUUAUCGGCUUGUUGGUGGGGUAGUGGCUUACCAAGGCUUUGACGGGUAGCCGGCCUGAGAGGGUGACCGGCCACAUUGGGACUGAGAUACGGACCAGACUGCUACGGGAGGCAGAAGUGGGGAAUAUUGUACAAUGGGCGGAAGCCUGAUGAAGCAACGCCGCGUGCGGGAUGACGGUCUUCGGGUUGUAAAACGCUUUAGCCUGUGACGAAGCGUGAGUGACGGUAAUGGGUAAAGAAGCACCGGCUAACUACGUG